UGCAGCAAGAACAUUACCCUGUCCUCGACCUUUGAUUGGCUCAAAAAUCUUUUCAACAUCUGCAUGUCUAACGGCUUCCCAAUUGACAGAAUCCCUGUUUCUUUCGGUAAGAACACUGGAUCUACCAGUAGAAUAGGUUUUCCUCAAUUUAUCCCAAUCAAUUUCUCUUUUUGGGAAUUCAUCUUUCUUUCUCGAUAUUGUCUUGGGCAAAUUGACCGCUUCAUUUCCUAAAUCACCACUCUUAGCAGAGAUUAUCACUUCUGAAUUUCUUUCGGUAAGAACACCGGAUCUACCAGUAGAAUAGGUCUUCCUCAAUUCAUCCCAAUCAAUUUCUUUUUUUGGGAGUUCAUCUUUCUUUCUCGAUAUUGUCUUGAGCAAAUUGACCGCUUCAUUUCUUAAAUCACCACUCUUAGCGGAGAUUAUCACUUUUGAACUGCAAGAAGU
rnacentral:lncRNA from 1 species